AGUGAACGCUGGCGGCAGGCCUAACACAUGCAAGUCGAACGGCGGCACAGGGGAGCUUGCUCCCUGGGUGGCGAGUGGCGGACGGGUGAGGAAUACAUCGGAAUCUACCCUUUCGUGGGGGAUAACGUAGGGAAACUUACGCUAAUACCGCAUACGAUCUGAGGAUGAAAGCAGGGGACCGCAAGGCCUUGCGCGAUUGGAUGAGCCGAUGUCCGAUUAGCUAGUUGGCGGGGUAAAGGCCCACCAAGGCGACGAUCGGUAGCUGGUCUGAGAGGAUGAUCAGCCACACUGGAACUGAGACACGGUCCAGACUCCUACGGGAGGUAGCAGUGGGGAAUAUUGGACAAUGGGCGCAAGCCUGAUCCAGCCAUGCCGCGUGUGUGAAGAAGGCCUUCGGGUUGUAAAGCACUUUUGUUGGGAAAGAAAUCCUGUCGGCUAAUACCCGGCGGGGAUGACGGUACCCAAAGAAUAAGCACCGGCUAACUUCGUGCCAGCAGCCGCGGUAA
rnacentral:rRNA from 1 species